rnacentral:rRNA from 1 species
GACGAACGCUGGCGGCGUGCUUAACACAUGCAAGUCGAACGCUGAAGACCUGGCUUUUGUUGGGUUGGGUGAGUGGCGAACGGGUGAGUAACACGUGAGUAACCUGCCCUCUUCUUUGGGAUAACGCCCGGAAACGGGUGCUAAUACUGGAUAUUCACUGAUCUUCGCAUGGUGGUUGGUGGAAAGGUUUGUUCUGGUGGGGGAUGGGCUCGCGGCCUAUCAGCUUGUUGGUGGGGUGAUGGCCUACCAAGGCUUUGACGGGUAGCCGGCCUGAGAGGGUGACCGGUCACAUUGGGAGUGAGAUACGGCCCAGACUGCGGCGGGAGGCAGCAGUGGGGAAUAUUGCACAAUGGGCGAAAGCCUGAUGCAGCGACGGCGCGUGAGGGAUGGAGGCCUGCGGGUUGUAAACCUCUUUCGCUCAUGGUCAAGCCGGAAACGUGGGUUGUGGUGAGGGUAGUGGGUAAAGAAGCGCCGGCUAACUACGUG